GUCCACGCCGUAAACGAUGUCAACUAGCCGUUGGGAGUCUUGAACUCUUAGUGGCGCAGCUAACGCAUUAAGUUGACCGCCUGGGGAGUACGGCCGCAAGGUUAAAACUCAAAUGAAUUGACGGGGGCCCGCACAAGCGGUGGAGCAUGUGGUUUAAUUCGAAGCAACGCGAAGAACCUUACCAGGCCUUGACAUCCAAUGAACUUUCUAGAGAUAGAUUGGUGCCUUCGGGAGCAUUGAGACAGGUGCUGCAUGGCUGUCGU
rnacentral:rRNA from 1 species